UACAGAGACUGCAAGCGUUAUUCGGAGUCACUGGGCGUAAAGGGUGCGCAGGUGGUCUUGUGUGUCAGGUGUGAAAUCCCGGAGCUUAACUCCGGAACUGCGCCUGAAACUGCAAGACUAGAGCAUUGGAGAGGGAAGUGGAAUUCAUGGUGUAGCAGUGAAAUGCGUAGAUAUCAUGAGGAACACCAGAGGCGAAGGCGACUUCCUGGACAAUUGCUGACACUCAGGCACGAAAGCAUGGGGAGCAAAAGGU
rnacentral:rRNA from 1 species